AGAGACAGCAGCAGCCGCGGGAAUACGUAGGGGGCGAGCGUUGUCCGAAGUUACUGGGCGUAAAGAGCGCGUAGGCUGGUCUUUAAGUGAGUGGUGAAAGGUUCGGGCUCAACCCGGACACUGCCUUUCAUACUGGGGACCUUGAGUGUGGGAGAGGCGAGUGGAAUGGUCGGUGUAGCGGUGAAAUGCGUAGAUAUCGAUCGGAACACCCAUGGCGAAGGCAGCUCGCUGGCCUAACACUGACGCUGAGGCGCGAAAGCGUGGGGAGCAAACAGGAUUAGAUACCCCAGUAGUCCCUGUCUCUUAUAC
rnacentral:rRNA from 1 species